rnacentral:tRNA from 1 species
AGGAAUGUAGCUCAGUUGGUUAGAGCACUGUCUUGAUAAGGCAGGGGGUCACUGGUUCGAGCCCAGUCUUUCCUACCA